CCUACGGGUGGCAGCAGUGGGGAAUAUUGGGCAAUGGGCGCAAGCCUGACCCAGCAACGCCGCGUGAAGGAAGAAGGCUUUCGGUAUGUAAAGCUCUAUCAGCAGGGAAGAAAAUGACGGUACCUGACUAAGAAGCACCGGCGAAAGACGUGCCAGCAGCCGCGGUAAUACGUAUGGUGCAAGCGUUAUCCGGAUUUACUGGGUGGAAAGGGAGCGCAGGCGGCGCGGCAAGGCAGAUGGGAAAGCCCGGGGCUCACCCCCGGGACUGCAUGUGAAACUGCCGGGCUAGAGGGUCGGAGAGGCAAGUGCAUUUCCUCGUGUAGCGGUGAACUGCGUCGAUCUUCGGAGGCACCCCAGUGGCGACGGCGGCUUGCUGGACGAUCCCUGCCGCU
rnacentral:rRNA from 1 species